GUUGUGCCAGUGCUGAUCUGUCUUGAUGUGAAUGUGAACAAUGGGAACCUGAGCUAAGCAGUUAAUGCUAGGGUGACAGAAACUGGACCUCUCCCAAGACAUGUGACGGAGUAAUACAGCAGCCAACUUCUUCGCCAAAUUAAAGUUUUACAAGAUUUAACCUGUCAUCAAGACCUGGGAUUUUGGUGAAGGACAGAAUAAUGGGCUCCCAGAUUCACAAGCCCCACCAAGAGGAUCACCCCAGGAACCCUUGGAGGCUGAGGAGUUCACUGAGGCUACUGCAUCUUGAGACUCAGGAUGAAGACCCAGCUUGGGGCUGUCAAAGGUUUUUUGCAUGUCUGACACCCAUGACUCCACCUGGACCUGAUGGCUCCACCCAGAAGCAAUUCAGCCCAACAGGAGGACAGCUUCAACCCAUUACAAUUUCAUCUCUGCCCCAACCA
rnacentral:lncRNA from 1 species